rnacentral:rRNA from 1 species
GACGAACGCUGGCGGCGUGCUUAACACAUGCAAGUCGAACGGGCGUAGCAAUACGUCAGUGGCGGACGGGUGAGUAACACGUGGGAAUAUGCCUUUCGGUUCGGAACAACUCGGGGAAACCCGUGCUAAUUCCGGAUACGCCCUUACGGGAAAGGAUUUAUCGCCGAAAGAUUAGCCCGCGUUGGAUUAGCUAGUUGGUGAGGUAAAGGCUCACCAAGGCGACGAUCCAUAGCUGGUUUGAGAGAACGACCNGCCACACUGGGACUGAGACACGGCCCACGACUCCUACGGGAGGCAGCAGUGGGAAUCUUGGACAAUGGAGGAAACUCUGAUCCAGCCAUGCCGC